GCACAAUGGGCGCAAGCCUGAUGCAGCCAUGCCGCGUGUGUGAAGAAGGCCUUCGGGUUGUAAAGCACUUUCAGUCGUGAGGAAGGUAGUGUAGUUAAUAGCUGCAUUAUUUGACGUUAGCGACAGAAGAAGCACCGGCUAACUCCGUGCCAGCAGCCGCGGUAAUACGGAGGGUGCGAGCGUUAAUCGGAAUUACUGGGCGUAAAGCGCAUGCAGGUGGUUUGUUAAGUCAGAUGUGAAAGCCCGGGGCUCAACCUCGGAAUUGCAUUUGAAACUGGCAGACUAGAGUACUGUAGAGGGGGGUAGAAUUUCAGGUGUAGCGGUGAAAUGCGUAGAGAUCUGAAGGAAUACCGGUGGCGAAGGCGGCCCCCUGGACAGAUACUGACACUCAGAUGCGAAAGCGUGGGGAGCAAACAGGAUUAGAUACCCUGGUAGUCCACGCCGUAAACGAUGUCUACUUGGAGGUUGUGGCCUUGAGCCGUGGCUUUCGGAGCUAACGCGUUAAGUAGACCGCCUGGGGAGUACGGUCGCAAGAUUAAAACUCAAAUGAAUUGACGGGGGCCCGCACAAGCGGUGGAGCAUGUGGUUUAAUUCGAUGCAACGCGAAGAACCUUACCUACUCUUGACAUCCAGAGAACUUUCCAGAGAUGGAUUGGUGCCUUCGGGAACUCUGAGACAG
rnacentral:rRNA from 1 species